rnacentral:rRNA from 1 species
CGGGAGCUACCCAUGCGUGUUUAAACGGAUGAAGGGAGCUUGCCCUCUGGAUUUAACGGCGGACGGGUGAGUAUGCCUCAGAAUCUGCCUGGUAGUGGGGGACAACGUUUCGAAAGGAACGCUAAUACCGCAUACGUCCUACGGGAGAAAGCAGGGGACCUUCGGGCCUUGCGCUAUCAGAUGAGCCUAAGUCGGAUUAGCUAGUUGGUGGGGUAAAGGCCUACCAAGGCGACGAUCUGUAGCGGGUCUGAGAGGAUGAUCCGCCACACUGGGACUGAGACACGGCCCAGACUCCUACGGGAGGCAGCAGUGGGGAAUAUUGGACAAUGGGCGAAAGCCUGAUCCAGCCAUGCCGCGUGUGUGAAGAAGGCCUUUUGGUUGUAAAGCACUUUAAGCGAGGAGGAGGCUUCUUUGGUUAAUACCCAAAGUAAGUGGACGUUACUCGCAGAAUAAGCACCGGCUAACUCUGUGCCAGCAGCCGCGGUAAUACAGAGGGUGCAAGCGUUAAUCGGAUUUACUGGGCGUAAAGCGUGCGUAGGCGGCUAAUUAAGUCAAAUGUGAAAUCCCCGAGCUUAACUUGGGAAUUGCAUUCGAUACUGGUUAGCUAGAGUAUGGGAAGAGGAUGGUAGAAUUCCAGGUGUUAGCGGUGAAAAAUGCGGUAGAAGAUCUUGGAGGGAACUACCCGAAUAGGCGAAAGGCCAGCCAUUCUUGGCCUCAAUUCUGGAGCCUGAGGUACCGCAAAGGCCUUCGGGGAGCCACCCGGGUUCAUUCCCCUGUUAGUCCCUUGCCGUACCGACUUCUUCCUAGCCGUUGGGUUUUGGACCCU